AUGCAGCCGGAGCCGGGGGAGCUGCGGCCGGAGCGUGCGGGCGGGGGAGUCCCGUGGUGUUGGGGAUGCUCAUCUUCCUUCUCUUGUUCCGGUCUCCCUCCUCUUCCUCCCGCUCCUCCUCCGUCCCAGCCCGGCCCGGGCAGUGCCGACACCCAGAAGCAGCCGCGCUCUGCCCUGGGCGGGUUCCGAAACAACUGCCCCAGGCGCGGCACUGGGAGCGAUCCUGGGAGCACCGGGAGCGAUCCUGAGAGCAGGGGGAUGGAACUGGGAGCGCUUUCCCUGCCAGUGCCGCUCUUACUGGGAGCACUGGGAGGGAACUGGAAGCAAACAGCGCCCGGAGGCGGCUGCAGCCGGCGCUGGGCGGAACCACGAUGGAAUGCGUGGUUAUGCAAAUACAGGAGCGGUCGCGCGCUGGGAUUGGUGGGUGGGAGCAGCGCGGGGUUUGCUCGGUUAUGUGAGGGCCGGGAGAGGCUGGAGCGAUGGCGGCGGCGUCCGGAGAGGAGUCGUUCCCCUGCUGCACCAUGGGGUCCCUCCUGGAGACACUUCUCCAUGAACUUCUCCAAGGUGAGUUCAUCUCAGGGGCAGCAGCUCUUCACAAACUGCUGCAGCGUGCCUCACUCUCCCAUGGGCUCACAUGGAAGGACCCUGCUCCAUCAUGGGCUCCUCUCUCCAUGGGUUUGCAGGCCCCUGCCUGGUCCCUGCUCCAGCACAGGUUUGUCAUGGGGUCACAGCCCCUGCUCAGGCACCCCCUGCUCCAGCACGGGCUCCUCCAGGUGCUGCAGGUGCAUCUCUGCUCUCCGUGCCCUCCAUGGGCUGCAGGGGCCCAGCUGCCUCCCCAGGGGCUGCCCCAGGGAAUCUCAGGGCAAUCAGCUCCAGCCCCUGGAGCAGCUCCUGCCCCUUGUCCUGCCCUGCCCUGGGGUGUGCAGAGUUGUUCCUCUCUCACAUGUUCUCACCCUGGUCACAGCUACAACUACAUGAUAACUGAUUUUCAUAAAUCUCUUAUCCAAAGGUGUUACCACCAUUUCUAACGGGCCCAACCUUGGCCAGCGGCUGGUCUGUCCUGGAGCUGCCUGGAAUUGCCUUUUUGGGACAUGGAGAAGCAGCUGCUUCCAUCAUCCUCUCACAGAAGGUGCUCCUAGAGCCACCUCUUACCAAACCUGGCCAUGCAAACCUAGUAUAAGUGUGAUAGGAUUUUAUUAUCAUUAUUCAUUCUUAUUAUUGCUAUUUUGGCUACUUUUGCUCUUAAUUUUACAGUUAUUACUAGUAUUUUUUAAUCUUUUUGACUCUAUAUUAAGAGUGUCUAUAGUAGAAUUUGAAACAAGAGUUCUUAAUUGCAAGUAGAAGUUAUCAUUUUUCCAGCCUCUUGCCCUGCCCUGUUCUGUGUCAUUGCUGUGUGUGAAGCUGCUGCUGCCAGAGCUCCCCAUUUCCCUGGUUUGGGAAAUUCGAUGGCAUUGCUCACAUGUCAGAAAGAGAGGGCUCAUUCCAAUCAAAUGCAUUGCCAGAACUCUUCUAGUCCCAGUAUUGAAACCUUGUUUUGUAAUGUUGCUGACUUUCUCAGCACCUGUUAAUAUUUGUGAUUUUAUGACAAAAUGUUCUGGUAUGGGAUUUUGCAAGAUUCUGUAAUCAGUGUUCAGUUCUGCUCUUGGAUUUCUUAAUGGUGUGUCAGAACUGAAUGCAGCAUUUUGGGUGGGAAGCCUUCAGUCGGAGCUAGGAUUGUCUCAGCAGCAGCUGGUUUUGCACAUGUAAGCAGAGAUAACAAAGAUUCCAUGAACUGAAUAUUCAGCCUUGCGGCAGAAUCCACAGUGCCUGGGUGGCACCGGAGCUGGGGGAGCCUCUGCAGCCUGCGGGGUCGGACAUCCCGAUAAGGGGGGACCCCGGGAGCCUGGAAUGUGGAGCCUGGAUUGGGGGGACCCUCUGCAGCCUGGAGAUGUUGGGACCAUGGACAAGAGAGACCCAUGGGUACCCUGGGGCCCUGAAACGGGGACCCCGCACAGCUGGUACCCCUCGAGCCCCUCCGACACCCACCUGGGACCCAGGGAAGGGAACCUCUGGGAUUGCCAGGAGCCCCUGCAGCCCAGAGAGAGGGGACGCAAAUACACACUGGAGCUGUAGAAGGCCAGGCAGGAGGGACCCCUGAACCCCAAAGUGGAGAGACCAGAGUGGGGGGAACUCCUGGGUGAAUGGUUGUUUCGUGAAUCCUGGUGGUUUGGGUUUUUAUGAGGGUGGCUGAACCUUGGUGGUCUGGAGGUUUUUAUGGACACCAGAUACCUGGUGACUUCUGGAGAUGGAAUUGGGCAGGAGGAACACCCAAGGCAACACACUCACACCUUGUUUUUUCCCCAGAAAAGGAAUUUCAGUUCCCAGUUUGACCUGAUGGAGGAGGAGACCAUGAGGAAGAUGAAGAUGCCCUGGCAGCCCCAGGCAGGAGCUGAGGAUGGAGACCAGGGAGGACAAAUCCCCACAGCAGAACCUCAUGGAAGAGGCUGUUCUGAGAGGCUUGACAGUGCAGGAAUUCAAUGGGGACAAAAAGCCCUGGAGAUUCCACAUGAAGAGGGGCUGCAAACCAGCCCAGGAAGCCGUGAGGAGGAAAGACCCACCCUGUGCUGGGAAAGCAGCCGGAGAUCCAGAUGCAGCUUGGAGCUGGUGGUUCCUGAGCACCUUCAUGGCAGGGAGAAGCCCUACAAGUGCUUGGAAUGUGGGAAGAGCUUCAGGCAGUGCUCCAGCCUCCUCACCCACCUUUGCAUGCACCUGGCUGGGACCCCCUUUGAGCAGGGGCAGAUUUGAGCCAGAAUAUUGGGAGUCCCAGAGCCAGCCUGGUGAGUGCACCCAGCACAUCCCCCACUGACCCGGAGCUGCUGCAAGUCCAGAACAGCCAGAGCAAGGCUGAGCUGGGGGAGCCAGGGGCUGGGGGGAUCCACAGCAAUAGGGGUUAUCUGUGGGGCUGGGAUGGGAGCUGUCCUCCUGCUCCUCACCAUCCUGUGCUUCCCAGAGCCCAGUCACUCCCAGUAUGAUCCCUGUUGCCCUCAGCAUGGCUCCAACUGCUCCCUGUUGCUCCCAGGGUGAUACCAGUGGCCUCCAGUAUAGUCCCAGUCACUCCCUGUAUGAUCCCAGUCUCUUCCACCAGGGUCCCAGUCAUGCCCAGUUGCCCUCAGUGUAGACCCAGUCACUCCCACUUGCUCCCAGUUGCCUCCAGCAUGGUCCCUGUUGUCUCCAGCAUGGUCCCUGUUGUUCCCAGUGUGGUCUCUGUCACUCCCAAUAGGGUUACAGACACUCCCAGUAUAUCCCAGUUGCCUUCAGCAUGCUCGGAGUCAUUCCCAGUCACUCCCAGUAUGAUCUCCGUAUGAUCCCAGGAGAGCCCAGUCACUUCCAGUAGGAGCUCAUGGAGCAAAGCUCAUGGAACACCUGGAGGACCCAGCCAGAGGAGGGUCCCUCCAAGUUCUCUGGCUGCAGGAAGAGCCCCAAGAAGCAGAGGUCCCCCCAGAGCCACCACCCCAAGUAGGAGGUGGUGACAGCUCUGCAGCCUGGGGCCCGGGACCACCAGGGGGGCCUCCAGAUGGACCCCCGAGCAAGUGGCUCACACAGCCCCUCCUCCUGUGCCCAAAACCCCACCCUUGGCAUCCCUCAUCCCUCCCUGCAGUCCCCUCUCCAACAUCUGCAGGCCUCUGGGAAGAGCCCAAAGGGAUGGAAGUGCCUAAUACGGUGAUGAAGUGCCUGAGCUGCUCCCAGCUGUGGAUGUUGCUGUGCACAGACCUCCCCUGGUCAGUGCCAUGGGGGGCAGGGAAAAGAUUUAGGUGAUCCUGAGGGGAUUGGAAGGGGCUUUUGGUGGCUCUUGGGGGCAUUUCUGGUGCUGGGAGGGUGUAGGGGGCUUUUGAGGGGCCUGUGGGGGAGUUUUGGGAGUUCUGGAAGGGCUGUGCAGCUUGGAAAGAAUUUGAGUGGGUCUUUGGAGGGGUGGAAAAGAGUUUUGAUGAUCUUGGGGCCAUUUCUGUUGCAUGGAGUGGUUUGGGGAGUGAGCAGAGAUCUGUGGGGUGGUUUGAGGGGGCUGGGAGGGGGUUUUAGGCAGUCAUGACCCCCCAGGCCCCCAGAGCUGCCACCAGACCCUGCCCACAAGGUGCUGCUGGGGGACAGGGGCUCCAUGUAGGGGUUUGUCUUCCUGGCACCCUGGGAGUGAGGGGGGAUCCCCCUGGGCCGUGUGUGACCCUCCCAUCCUGGUGUCACCCCCUUGUCCCUCCCCACAGGGCUCCUGCCCCAGCUCCUGCUCCCCCAGGAGGGAAUUUGGGGAGGGGGCACAGGGAGUGCACAGCCUCCACCAGGGGAUGACCCCGGCCCAGCCCCUUUGUUCAGCACCAAGCUGGGCUGGGGCUGCAGGAGGAAGAGGCUGAUGGGAAGCAGAUCCUGCAGCUGGGACAGUGCUUGGGGUCAGGGCAAGGUCCUGCCCUGCACACCUGGCUCACGUGUGACUCUGCCCCGGGACAUUCCCAUCCCCACGGAUCCCAUCCCCAAAAUCUCACUCCUGG